UAUGUCCCAGCGUUUAUGACAGUGUUCUGAGCUGCCACUCUCAGAGCCCCAGAAUAAGGAAGGAAAUAGCAUCAGAGUGACACCCAAGUCACCCUUCCACUGGAUCCCAAGCCUUCUCAGUCUGCACAACAGGAAUGGACCAAGACCAAUGCAACAGAAGAUAUAACAUCUAAUAUAGAACUAGCAGGAGGACUUGUCAUGUCCUCUCCUUUAGAGUGCUCGGACACCCCUCUCCUCCCAGGGCUCUGGCAUUUAUACCCUCUCCAGAGUCCUCAGGAUUAAACUCUCCAAAGCUGGCAGAAUCACAAUCUUGCCAGAGCAUACACGAGGCAAAUAGUCAGCGGCUGUGGAUAAUCUGCGGCAGCCCCUACAUCCCACACCUGGGGUUGAAACAAUGAACAGAACUGGAUUUGUAAAGGAAACCAAAACUCUCACUACAGAGGGCCUUGGAGUUCCCUAGAACUGG